rnacentral:rRNA from 1 species
UACAGAGGUCCCAAGCGUUGUUCGGAUUCACUGGGCGUAAAGGGUGCGUAGGUGGUUAGGUAAGUCCGAUGUGAAAUCUCCAGGCUCAACCUGGAAAUGGCAUUGGAUACUAUUUAGCUUGAGGAAUGGAGGGGGGACUGGAAUUCUCGGUGUAGCAGUGAAAUGCGUAGAUAUCGAGAGGAACACCAGUGGCGAAGGCGAGUCCCUGGACAUUUCCUGACACUGAGGCACGAAAGCUAGGGGAGCAAACAGG